GACGAACGCUGGCGGCGUGCUUAACACAUGCAAGUCGAACGGAGUUAUGUAUGAAGUAUUUCGGUACGGACUAUGUAACUUAGUGGCGAACGGGUGAGUAACACGUGGGCAACCUGCCCUUAACCGGGGGAUAACAUUGUGAAAACAGUGCUAAUACCGCAUAACAGAGUAUCGGGCAUCCGAUAUUUUUAAAAGGAGCAAUCCGGUUUAGGAUGGGCCCGCGUCCAAUUAGCUAGUUGGUGAGGUAACGGCUCACCAAGGCUACGAUUGGUAGCCGAACUGAGAGGUUGAUCGGCCACAUUGGGACUGAGACACGGCCCAGACUCCUACGGGAGGCAGCAGUGGGGAAUAUUGGGCAAUGGGCGAAAGCCUGACCCAGCGACGCCGCGUGAAGGAUGAAGGUCUUCGGAUUGUAAACUUCUUUGAUCAGGGAAGAAAGAAAUGACGGUACCUGAAGAACAAGCCACGGCUAACUACGUG
rnacentral:rRNA from 1 species